GACGAACCGGACAAACGUUAUUCGGAAUUACUGGGCUUAAAGGGUUUGUAGGCGGCCUUGUAAGUCAGGUGUGAAAUCCCUCGGCUCAACCGAGGAAUAGCGCUUGAUACUGCAAGGCUUGAGGGAGACAGGGGUAAGCGGAACUGAUGGUGGAGCGGUGAAAUGCGUUAUAUCAUCAGGAACACCGGUGGCGAAAGCGGCUUACUGGGUCUCUUCUGACGCUGAGGAACGAAAGCUAGGGGAGCGAACGGG
rnacentral:rRNA from 1 species